rnacentral:rRNA from 1 species
UACGUAGGGUGCAAGCGUUAAUCGGAAUUACUGGGCGUAAAGCGUGCGCAGGCGGUUUUGUAAGUCUGACGUGAAAUCCCCGGGCUCAACCUGGGAAUUGCGUUGGAGACUGCAAGGCUAGAAUCUGGCAGAGGGGGGUAGAAUUCCACGUGUAGCAGUGAAAUGCCUAGAGAUGUGGAGGAACACCGAUGGCGAAGGCAGCCCCCUGGGUCAAGAUUGACGCUCAUGCACGAAAGCGUGGGGAGCAAACAGG